CCAGCUCUAAAGCUGCUCUAGCU
rnacentral:snRNA from 1 species